rnacentral:lncRNA from 1 species
GUUUACAGAUGGAAAACAUUAAUUCACUUGCACAGAAAGAAUCGAUGUGUCACAGCUGCCAUCGGCAGGACGGCCAGAGAGCUGUGCAGGUCCAUCAGGCUCAGCUGCAGCUUUUCAUCUGCCCUUCUCCGGUCCUCCUGCAGCUGGACAGAUAGCCCACAAGGGCACGGGGGACGCAGACCCCCCCUGCCAGCCGCAGCAGUCGCUCCUGCCAGCGCUCCCUUUCCUCCUGACCAUUCCCAGUUUGCAGGCUGGUGCCCUGUGUGGCAGAGGAGGAGAGAGCUGCGGGCAGAAGGAAAACAGUUUGCUGGGAUUCCUCCAGCCCGCUGCCAGAUGUCUUCUCUGGCAUUUUGGGGAUGGGUAGAGACUGUGGGAGCAGCUUCGAGGCUCUGGGCAGUAGGGAAGGAAGCAAAGAUGCAGCUUCAGGCAGCGGACUCUGAGCUGGAGCGGUGCAGCCAGGCACGGCUGCACAGCUCACAGUCUGGACACACGGAAGAAGUUCGUCCAGCUGAGGGCUGCAGGGCUGUCCUUACCAAGCACUCCCCCAUCCUGCAGUUCUGCAUGGGCACCGAUUGCUCAAGCUCUUCUCACUGCAGGAGCUCAGAAGCGACAACAGCCCCGACCCCAAACCAGGCAGAUCUGCAGUGACUUCAGCAAUCCCACGUGGUGCCGCAGCAGAAAUGGGUCCUGCGGUACGUCAGUGAUCUGUGACUUGAGGAGCGCAGGGGCUGCACGAAGUACGCACGCUGCAGCCUCCCUACUUCUUUGGGUUUUGGGAUUGAUGUCUGAGCCAAAAGGCUACACGCUGCCAUACAGGCAGGUGCCAAGUUCACCCUGUCAUUGAGGACACCAAAUCCCCUAUGUAUUAGAAAUUUCACCAAUUGCCAUUGAGGACAGACUGGAAUCAAAAUAUGUGGGUCAUCAUAGCUCGUCCAUUGAUAAAGCUCCCCUUGCUGGACAGGCAGACCCAAUUGGCUGCUGGUCAUUACUUUUUUUUUUUUUGCUUCAUGCCUUUAUGGGAACUUUGAGAUCACAGCCAGAAGCAGUGAUGGAGCACCUGGUGAGGGGUGUAGCCCUGCAAGCACAGGUGGAAGCAAUGCACCUGUGGGACCAGGUGGGGCUGAGCCUCGUUCCACCCCUCCCUCACCUCAUUUGAGGGCCCAAAGGCAGUGCCUCUUUCUGGUGACUUUCUCUGUGGGUUGCUGGGUGAGCUCUGCUUCUUGGAAAGCGGUAAGUGAUUCUUUCUUUAUUCUAGGGUUUUGAUCUCUGCCUUUCUGUGGGGAUCCUAGGCUGGUUUAGAGUAGCUAUAUUUGUUAUGCCUGUCCUUAUGAUGCCCUUCAAUUGUUUUUUGAGGGAAGCGAAGGGGGUCUCUCCCUUUCUCUGAACUGGUAAUGCAGGGGAUGGUGUACAUUCCUUUCUUUUGCUCUUAUCUCA